rnacentral:rRNA from 1 species
UACGGGGGGAGCAAGCGUUGUUCGGAUUUACUGGGCGUAAAGGGCGCGUAGGCGGUCAGCACAAGUCAGUUGUGAAAUCUCCGGGCUUAACUCGGAAAGGUCAACUGAUACUGUGCGACUAGAGUGCGGAAGGGGCAACUGGAAUUCUCGGUGUAGCGGUGAAAUGCGUAGAUAUCGAGAGGAACACCUGCGGCGAAGGCAGCUCGCUGGGACGGUACUGACGCUGAGACGCGAAAGCGUGGGGAGCGAACAGG